CUGGGGUCCGGAGGCUGCCUGGGCUCAGACCCGGGAGCCAGCUCUGGGCUUCGACCAGCAGGGCCCAGGGAGGAGCCACGCGGGCGGCGGCGGAGGCCAGCCUGGGCCGAGUUGGCAGGAUGCUUUUCGAAAGAAAGGCUGUACCGUUGUCCCGGUUGUCGGUUGUCUGUAAGGUUGUGGAAUGGUUACAUGCUUACGUAACAGAGACCUUAACUUUUCCAAAAAAGGCAAUUCACUGGAAAGAGGACAAGGGAGCAGAGAGAGCCCAAAGGUGGAGCUGCAGCAUGGUGUCUGGGCACGGGGACGCCAGCAAGAAUCUGCAGGAGCCCCCUUUGCUGGUCUCUGCUUCAUCACCCCCAGGCGUGGGCAUAAUCAGAGCUGACCCCUGCUGAGCCAGGCCCAGAACUGAGAACUUUACAUGCGUGGUUUAAUCCUCGUGACAACCCCAUGAGAUAGGUGUUACUACUAUUCCUCCCAUUUUGCAGAUGUGGGAUGAGGCACAGAGAGGUUGAGUAACCACUGAAGGCCACACAGCCAGUACAUGGCGAGCCAGGAUUCUCUCCACGGCUCUACUGUGCUGCCUCCAGAGAACCAGGGGCCAUCACAAACUGGAUGGACAUCCCAGUGUGUCUUCUACUCUUGACAAGUCCCCUCCCGGUAACUUGACAAGGACAGGCAGGGAGAAGACGGGGGGUAAGACCUGUGUGUGUUACAGUUUACACGACAACUUCACACACGUUUCCUCAUCUCAAGCUCACCACAGCCCCCGGGGGAAACGGAGGCCCGGCGAGCAUGUGACGGGCCUGGGGCGCCCCCAGGGUCUCGGGGAUGUUGCUUGCUCCCCUCGGCCUUGGCAGGUGCACCGGGGCUGGGCCGCUGGUGCGGCGAAGACGGGCCGGCGGCGCCCGGACACCAGACGAGCACCAUCUAUGUGCAAGGCCCUCUCUGAUCCAGGGCUGCGUUGCGGUUCUCCAAGUCCUGACGCCGUGGAAGCCACUAGGAGAGGCUGGAGCCAGGCGCGAGGCCUCCCCGCCCGGGCGCGUAGCUGCGGCUGCUCCCUGCCCGGUCCUCUGCGCGGAGCCAGCAAGGCGCUCAAAUUAGACCCGUGAGCACCUCCCCGAGGUUAAGGGCGCCUCGUGGGCCCCCGGCCAGGACUCGGCCGAGCCGGAAGUCCGGGGGAGGGGCCCCUAACUGCAGAGCGACAGUCACCCAGGAGCAGGUGGGGCUCCCCCAAAACCACGCACCUGCUCCUCGGGCUCCUUCUAGAAACCUGCGGGAGCUGAAGACCAGGCGCGGCGCCAGCUUCUCUUCACCCCUGUCCGCGAGGUCCCUAGAGACCCUGGAGCUGUCGGUAGCAGGAGGGGUUUACACCAGGUGACCCGUGAGCAGCUUCCCAGCUCUGACCCCAAGACAGUGAGUCAACCCCCUGGGCUGUGCAUGGAAAAUGCAGGAAGGAGGAGGGAGUAAGACAGACUCUAAGGGGGCUUCUUUAAGACGGUGAGUCCUGUGCCUGCCCUACACCUACUAAAUUAGAGGCAGGACCCAGGAUCUCCUUUUUUUUUUGUUUCCUGAGGAAGAUUUGCCCUGAGCUGCCAUCCAAUGCCAGUUUUCCUCUUUUUGUGUGUGUGUGAGUUAGCAUGGCUGCUAACAGAUGAGUGGCUUAAGUCCGUGCCCAGGAUCUGAACCCAGGCCGCAGACGCGGAGCAUGCUGAACUUAACCACUAGGCCCCCGGGGCUGGCCCCAGGAUCUAGGUUUUAACCAGCUCGAACUAAAAUCUGAGACCACCCCACACUGGCCCUUGUGGGAUUCCUCCCACCGUCCCCUGCCCCCACCGUUUUCCCAGAUCAGCUCUGCUGUCCCUUGAUUUCAUUGAGGUCUGGCCCGAUGUCCCUCAGAGGGGUCCUUGCUGAGCCCCUGGUCGAACAGGUCCACUACAGGUCGUUUUGUAGUCCAGGUGUGUCCCUGCAAUGUUCGGGAAAUACACUCAUAAGUGUUUAUUGUCAACCUGAAACUGAAAUGUAACUGGGAGUCCUGUGUUUGUAUUUGCUAAGCCUGGCAACCCUAAGGGAGGGGACGCAGCGCCCCUGACAGUAGGGCCAUUUGCCAGUCUGAGUUUCCAUGGGCAGCAGAUGGCUGCAGCCGCCACCCUGGCACAGCCCUGCCCCUCCGCACCCACCCAACCACCAGCAAGAAGGAAAACCGUCCCGUGGGGCAGGCCUGCGUCCCUGCAGAGGGGUUUCUGGGCCGGGAACAAGCCCUGGGAUCUUUCUUCUCCAUCUUCCGCUCCCGUGCACAGCUUCCUGCUGCAGGUGCUCAGGGAUUCUGCCCGAGGCCCCAGGAGGGAUGGGUGUAGGUGCCCCACUCAGAGGACGGCUCCCUACAGGACACGCCCAGAGCCCCGGCCGUGGGAGACAGACACCACGCGGCCGACUCCGAAAUAGACAGUGAGCCCCUGCCCCGGACACGGGUGAUCGUGGCGACUCAGAGUUAGGGGUGGAAUUGUGUCCCCCCAGGUUCCUUUGCUGUUGUCCUAACCCCCAGUGCGCCAGAAUGUGCCCUUGUUUGGAGACAGGGUCUUUGCAGAGGUAAUCAAGAGGUAAUGAGGUCAUGACGGAGUCCUCAGGAGAAGGGAAGUUUGGGCACAGACGAGAGCACGUGAAGACACAGGGAGGAGGCGGCCAUCUGCCAGCCAAGGAGCGGGGCUGGAGCAGGUCCUCCCUGGCAGCCUCAGAAGGAGCCAGCCUGCCCGCUCCUUGAGCUCGGACUUCCCGCCUCCAGACUGUAGGUGACACGUUUCUGCUGGGCAGCCACCCAGGCUGUGGCCCUGAGCUAUGGCGGCCCUGGCUACCUCGGGCAGGGCAGCGGGUCUCAGCGCCCUCUGUCCUGGCACCUUCCAUCCCUCCAUUCACCCCGGUGGGGUCUCUACCAGGACGGGUGUGUGAUGAAGCCUCAGGCCUCCCUGAGCGUCUCAGAUCCCUUAACUCUGGGCUGAGCGACAGGCUUGGCUCAGGACAGGCGCUUGGUGCCACCCAGGCUGGGGACCUAGCUCCAGGGACUGGCCUCCACGUGGGGAGCACGCUUGCUUUAUAGCAGCCUUGCUGGGGAAAUUUGGGCCCCGGCCACAAAAAACUCACUGGGAGCCAAGAAUAAGAUUGUCAGGUCCUGUGGCUGAAGGAAAGAAAUUCAGACCAGGCAGAGUAAGAGGAGGGCCCUGGGCGCCUGAAUAAAGCAACGUGGAGACCGACCUUCCGGUUUGCAGAGUUCUCUGUGACCUCAGGACGACCCGCAGUGAGGGAGCAUGCUCGCCAGUCACAAAGACCGUUUUAUCUCUUCGUGUUCCCAGCACAGCGCCCAGCACACAGCAGGUGCUCAAUACGUGCUAAGUACUUCCUAAAAUAAAGCAUAAACAUCCUGCUCCUAGCAGCAGAGAAAGGAGACAAUCACCGUCUGCUGGGGGUGGGCAAUGUGAUCUGGUGCUUUAAAUGCCCAGACGGGGUGUGAGGACUCCCGAUUCCGGAGCGGACAUCCACUGCUGGGCGACCUCAGGCGGCUCUCCCCGCGCGCUCUGGCUUUCCGGGUCUGUGAAGUGGGACAGCCUGGUCCCCGCUGGGGCAGCCUCCAGCCCCAAGCAUCCCUCCUGGUUCCGGGCUAGGUGCACGGUGCCUGGUCCUGAGAGGCCUCGCUGGAGCUGGAGACGGAGCUGGCCGGCGGCAGGCAGCCGAGGGCAGGAAGCUGGCAGGUGGCCCUCACCCGCCAGCCGCUCAGGGCCCCCAGGCACCGCACCCCCAGCCCGACACCACUUUCUAGCCAUCUGGGUUGUUCCAGAGUCCUGCCCUGUGAGGUCAAAGCCUUCGGAGCUGGAGGGAAGGACCAGAGAAGACGGCCCACCACCAGCAGCCGCGUCAGGGUUUGCACGGUGAGGAAUUCCACGGAGCCGCUCAGUGCUGAAUGUGUGCCCAAAGUCAUAGGCUGAGACCUAAGCCCCAAGGUGAUGGUGUUAGGAGGUGGGGCCUCCGGGGGUGAUUAGGGCAUGAGGGCGGGGCCCUCAGGAAUGGGAUUAGCAUCAUUAUGAAGGAGACUGAGAAGAGCUCUCUGCCCCUUCGGUCACGUGAGGACGCAGUGAGAAGCCAUCCGUCUGUGCGCCAGGGAGCCGGCUCACUCCAGACCCCGCGUCUGCCCAGCCCUUGAGAUUGGACUCUGAGCAUCGGGAAGUGUGAGAAAUAAGUGUCUGUGGUUUAAGGGCCAGGCUGCAGUAUUUUCCUAUAUGGUCUAAGACAGGGGCAGACUUGGCUUGUUUUUAGCGUUUUAGGGAAAUGAAUGCCAGUUUUGAGUGACUGUCACCUUGCACCUGCCCCUGGACAAGGAGCAGCAGGGCGUGGGAGAGAGGCAUGGGGGGAGGGGCUCCAGAGGGCCACAUCGUCACCCACUGCAUCUGGCAACACCAGUAAGUGGGCUGGGCCCCUCCCUGGGUGGCCUGGGGACCCCUGGGCCGGAGGAAAGGGGAUGAGAGCAGAGGGGUGGGAGGUCCAGAGCUCUGCUCCUGGUGGGGGGCUGGGUGUCCUGAGGGGAGGCCCCAGCACCCCUGGCCUGUGACCUGCCAUCACUGCUGGCCCAGGAGGAAGAGUGGACAGACACCCACAGGGGCAGAGAGACCCCGAGGCCAGCAGGCGACCUGCACACUGGGUCCAGGCAGGGGUCAAGGACAGGGCUGGAGUGAGCGAGAUGCUCAGGUCCGACACUGUCGCCCUGAAGAAGGCAGGUGGCCUUCCUGUUGGGCCACUGCCACUCUGAGCUGUGCCUGCAGGCCACACGCACUCUGUGCUCAGGCCCCUGGUGAAGCCACAUCUGCCAGACGUGAGCCACCAGGGACAGGACGACCCUAAGAAGUCAACCCCGGCCUCACUGGGGGUCCAGGGCCCAGCAGUUGGGAGACCACCCCUCCUCCCUGGGCAAUGGGGAGGAGCUUGACGACCCCAUCGGGGUGGCCUCUAGGGGAGCCCUGGGCCCUGAGGCACGAGGUCCACCCCGCGCUAGGGCAGACUCAGAGCUGAGCUCCUCAGGAGCAAGAGGCUACCCAGCUGCAGGGAGGGGGGGGUCAGCGGAUGGCUAACCCGAGGACGGGGUCUGCCUCGGCUGCCAAGGUCAAGGUCAUCUUCUCGGGCCCUGCAGCCAGAGUGAGGGAGGGUGCGAGGGCCCAGCCCCUUCCGCCCCACGCGGGCUCCUCCGACGGGCAGCGAUGGCUCGGAGCUCCACCGGGCUGUCGGAGGCGCGCGCAGCAGAUCCGAACAUCAGUUUACCAACCCCUCCUACCCACCCCUGCUCGUCCCUUCUCUCCACCGGUGCUGCUCCCCAAUAAAUCUUUUGCUCCCCUGACUCUGGCUCAGGGUUGGCCUCCUGGAGAACCUAACCUGCAGCACCCUCUUCCGCGCCCUUGUGCCUCAGUUUCCCCUCGUGGGGUGGUACCUGUGCUUCGGGUUCAACACUGCACGAACAGGAGGAUGACCUGUUUCCUCAGUACCCGAAACACCCCCCCGCACCCAGCCGGCAGGGCACGCGCAGUGGAGAAGGGGGCGCCCGCCUCUGGUGGCCUCAGCGCCCACCCCACCAAGGGGCUGCCACUAAAAACAAAACACGACAUCACAAGACCCAGAGAAAGCGGGGGAACCGAAGGCUGGCUGUUCUCCGGGGCGCCCCCUCCCCGCUCCCCUGCGGGCUGGCAGAAGGGGCCCCCUCGGACUUUAGGACGCUCCCCAGUCACCGCCUGCGGCUGGGACCACGCUCUGCUCCCCAUCCCUGCUUGCCCCAGGUCUGCAGCUCCCCUCGUGAUGCCGAGGUGACACGUUCCCCCGCCGAGCCGGCCCCGUGCACGCCCACCCCCGGAGCGCUCCGACCCCGUGGGCCCCCCCCCCACCCCCGCCCCCCCAGGAGGAGAGAGCAGCCGGCCUGUGCCGGCCCUGCUCCCAAUCCCAGCGCCCGCAUACCCUGCACAAGCGGUCAGCGCCGCCGAGGGUCUCCCCGCAUCCAUCCCACCCCACGCCUGCCAGCACGCGGCCUGGGGGCCUACCCUGGGCCCGCAGGGAGAGCACAGCCCUGGCCCAUGGAAGGUUCUGGACUGCAGAGAUCUCCUGCCUACAGCCUCCACCACGGAAUCCAAGGCGCUCCGGACCCUCUUCCCCACGCAGCCCUUCAGGUGCGGGAGUCCCCGAGGCCCCUUCUCUGAGCUAAAACACGCCACUCUUCCCAUUCCUCCUCAUGUGACUGGAUUUUGAGCCCUCCCACCAUCCUGGCCACACAGUCUGGAAUGUGGUUUGCUGAUGACUUUCCGAAAGUGGGGUUCCCAGGGCUCAAUACGCUCCCGGGAGCGGUCAGGUCAGCCGGCCCGGGGAAGGCUCUGCGGACACGUUUUGUUGACCCAACUUGAGGUCCUAUCAGCUGUCGCGGACCCCACGCAGACUCUGCAGUCACAAUGCCCCGAUUCAUGUCCCUUCUCAGCCAGUUCCACCUUGGGUAAAUUAUUUAGCUUCUCUGUACCUCAGUUUACUUAACUGUAAAAUAGGGUCAUAACGGCACCCCCUCUCCCCCACCCCAAGCCAAGACGCGGGAAAAGAGCCGGGCGGCCGUCGGCCGGCAGAGGGCGCUGCACGCCCGCCUUGGACGGGAUGCGCUGCCGGACGCGGCCGCCAGGGGUCGCCCGAGCGCCGCGGCGGACCGAGGAGACCCCUGGCCGGGCCGCGCCUGCACCACCCGACUGGUACCCACGAGGGGGGAGGGGGGAGGCUGCGCCGACCCUGGACUGGCCGCCCCUUGCCUGCGCCUCACCCCGCCCUUCUGGAAGACUCGGAGCAGUUUACUGCAACCUCCGCACACCUGAUGCGGAGCCAAAUCGCAGGCGCUGUGGCCGCCAAGCAGGUGCAAAGGGGAGCGAGGCUCGGGGGGAAUCGGGGGGAUGUGUGACCCCAGUGACGCAAAGCCUUUGAAAGAGCGGCAGUGACACCGCCCAGAGGCGCAGGACACACCCCCGGGACCCGGCCACAUCCGAGAACAGGAUAGGGCUGCUCACCCGCUCCUGAGACCCGCGCUGCCUCGGGUCAUCACAUCCUCCCCCUGGCCCCCACCCUGGACCUCUCCACCCUGCAUGGGGUGCGCUUGCUGUGUCCAGGUGUCCAGACAGGUGAAUUAGAAGGAUCUGGGGAGUCACGGAUGGGAUACGGAACUGAAAUCUACUUCCUCCCCUUGGCCAUGAAAUGGGAGAAAACCUCCUCUGUUCAGGGUGGGGAAGGGCAUACAUGGUUCCUGGAGGAGGAAGCCAAGGGCAGCAUUUUGAUCUGGCCCACAGUAGAGAAAAAGUCCUGUCUCCAAGGUCUGCCAAGGGUUUGGCAUCCAAGGUAAGAUCAGGACAACAUAUCUAGGAUGGUUAAUUUUAUGUGUCAAGUUGACUGGGCCCAGAAAUUUGGUCAAAUAUUAUUCUGGAUGUGUCUGUGAGGGAGUUUUUGAAAGAGAUUGACAUUUAAAUCAAGAGACUGAGUAAAGCAGAUUGCCCUCCCUGGUGUAGGUGGGCCUCACCCAAUCAGUUGAAGGCCUGAAGAGAACAAAAAGGCCGAGGCUCCCACGAGUAAGAGGGAACUCCUCCUGCCUGACUGAUUUCCAGCUGGGACAUCAGCUUUUUCCUGUCUUCAGACUUGAGCUGAAACAUCGGUUUCUCUUGGGUCUUGAGCCUGCCUGCCUUCAGACUGGAACAUCAUCAGCCCUCCUGGGUCUCCCGCUUGCUGACUGCAGAUCUUGGGGCUUGUCAGCCUCUGUAGUUACCUGAGCAAUUCCAUACCCUCUUGGUUCUACCCCUCUGGAGAACCCUGGCCAUUCACUGGCCUAAUCGACAGAGCAACAUGGUAUCAUUCUCCUCUCCUCUCACAUCAGCAAAGACAAGUCCUUCAGGUGUAUGGAGGAAAUCGAACGUGUGCAAGUCUGUCGAGUCAACAUGCUGUCUUUGGAGUCCGUCCUUGGGAACCAACUGCACGUGGUGGGGUGUCUUGUGCACAUAAGGAUGUUGGGAAGGACGCUCCCCCACCCAGCGCCCACUGCCCUCCUGGUAAAGGGGCUUCAAUGCCUGGUCAGUCAGAGCAGUCUCCUGGCCAGGGGAUUGGCUCAGGUUGGGCCAAGCCAGGUCAAUUAGGGUAAAUGAGAUUUUAUUCUGGCAAUUUGUAGGAACUGACUUUAAAAAAAAAAAGUGUUUGCUUUUUCUUCUGAGAAGAUAGUUAUCCACUGAGGCUUCUGGCAGCCAUCUUGUCACCAUGAGGGGAAUAGCCGGCCUGAGAAUUUCCAAAGCACACAGGAAAGUCUGAGAGCCACUCAUGCCCCAAGCCGGAGACUUCCCCUGGGUGUUUCAUUUCCAUAAGCAGUAAUUUCUCUUGUUUGAUUCAGCAAGUGUAGCUUGUGUUUCUACAAUUCUGACUGAUUCGACAGGGCUGCACUGCUGUAACAGUGGCAAACAGGUCAUUGAAAUGGCCGCAACGACUGGCCCUGAGCUAACAGCCAUGCCCAUCUUCCUCUACUUUAUAUGUGGGACGCCUACCACAGCAUGGCUUGUCAAGCGGUGCCAUGUCCGCACCCGGGAUCCGAACCAGCGAACCCUGGGCUGCCUAGAAGUGGAAUGUGUGCACUUGACCACUGUGCCACCGGGCCGACAAAUUUUUCACUUUUAUAAUCAGAAUAAAAAAUUAUCACUUUCAUUUUGGAAAAUGAGAAUAUUUGAUAAUUUGUUUUUUAGAGUGUUUCGAAUGUCCCUGUGUCAAAAUGGCCACUUAACUGCAUACCUAUUAGAACAGCCAAAAUCCAGAACACCGAAGGCCAGUGAGGACACGGAGCAACAAGAACUCUCGUGCGUUGCUGGUGGGAAUGCAGAAUGGUGCAGCCACUUUGGAAGACAGUUUGGCAGCUUCUUACAAAACUAAACAAACUCUCCCCGUACAAUCCAGCAAUCCCACUCCUGUAUUUACCCAAAGGAGAUGAACUUACGGUCACACAAAAACUGGCAUGUGGAUGUUUGCAGCAGCUUUAGUCCUCGUUCCCAAGGCUGGGAUUUCUUCUGUGACGUCUACGCCUUGGCUCCUCCAGUACUCUCGGCCUGGAAUACCCUUCACCCAUCUACCCUCCAGUGUUAAACUCAGACACCACCUCUGCCAUGACGGCUUCCUCUGCUCUCCCACAGCACCCUGCUUGUGUCUCUUGGGAAUCCUUUCAGCCACAAGUAACAGAAACUCUGGCGAGCAGUGGCCUAAACAAAUAGUGGUUUAUUUUUCCUUUAAGGAGGGAGGUGGUUGCUGACAUCAGUUCAGUGGCUCAGUAAAGUCAGAGCUAGUGUCUCUGAGAUUCUCUUGACCUGCCCCUCAUGACUACAAGACGGCUGCAGCUGCUCGGGACAUCAUAUCCUCACAUCACAUUCAAGGAAGAGAAGUGAAGAGCCGAGCAGGGUAGAACAUUUUUCCUCAUUUACCGUCCUCUUAUCUGGGAGGAAAAAAACUUCCCCGGGAGUUUCCAGCAGGCAUCCUCCUAUAGCUCAUUGUCUAGAACGGGGCCACCAGGCCCCCCUCAGACCACAGUGGACCUACGUCCCUGAGAUCAACUUGAUUGAGACCCGAACUUGAUUGAGAUGGGAACGGAAAGGGGUCAUGUCAGGAGGGAAGAAAGGAGGGGAAAAGGCAC
rnacentral:lncRNA from 1 species